UAUGUUAGCUUGCUAAAAUAUUUAGUAGCAAAUGGGUGAGUAACACGUACCUAACCUACCUUUUGGACCGGGAUAACCAUUGGAAACAGCGGCUAAUACCGGAUAUAAUAAAAAAAUGCAUGUUUUUUUAUUAAAAGAAGCCUUUAAAGCUUCACCAAAAAAUGGGGGUGCGCAACAUUAGUUAGUUGGUAGGGUAAAGGCCUACCAAGACGAUGAUGUUUAGCGGGGCCAAGAGGCUGUACCGCCACACUGGGAUUGAGAUACGGCCCAGACUCCUACGGGAGGCAGCAGUAAGGAAUAUUCCACAAUGAGCGAAAGCUUGAUGGAGCGACACAGAGUGCAG
rnacentral:rRNA from 1 species